UAGCUCAGUUGGUAGAGCAGUUGACUUUUAAUCAAUUGGUCGCAGGUUCGAAUCCUGCACGACCCACCAUCUUUAACAUCGAACGUCGGUGUUAAACGUGAAGGAUAACGUUGCUUCAGCUACGGCCCGAAGGGCGAGCGAAGCGAGUCAUUCUGCACUCCAAUCA
rnacentral:sRNA from 1 species